rnacentral:siRNA from 1 species
GCCGUUCGCCAAGAUUCUACGCA